GAUGAACGCUGGCGGUGUGCCUAACACAUGCAAGUCGAGCGAGAAUUUUAUGAACAAAUCUUCGGAAGAGUGAUUAAAAGGAAAGCGGCGGACGGGUGAGUAACGCGUAGGCAACCUGCCCCAUACAGAGGGAUAGCCUCGGGAAACCGGGAUUAAAACCUCAUAAUGCGAAGAAGCCACAUGACUUUUUCGCCAAAGAUUUAUCGGUAUGGGAUGGGCCUGCGUCUGAUUAGCUAGUUGGUAAGGUAACGGCUUACCAAGGCAACGAUCAGCAGCCGACCUGAGAGGGUAAUCGGCCACAUUGGAACUGAGACACGGUCCAAACUCCUACGGGAGGCAGCAGUGGGGAAUAUUGCACAAUGGGCGAAAGCCUGAUGCAGCAACGCCGCGUGAGCGAUGAAGGCCUUUGGGUCGUAAAGCUCUGUCGGAAGGGAAGAAACAAAUGACGGUACCCUCUGAGGAAGCCCCGGCUAACUACGUGCCAGCAGCCGCGGUAA
rnacentral:rRNA from 1 species